CCGGGCCCAGGCGUCCGGGGCCAGGCGACAGCGAGGUGGGGGCGGGCGGCGGCAGGGCGCUCCGGGGCUGGGGUGCUCACGUGGCGCCGAAGGCCCCCGCAGGCCCCGGCGGCGCCCCCCAGCCGGGCGUCCCGCAGGGGCUGGGAGCUGCCCAAGGGGCCGUCGUCGUCGCCAGCCCGGUAGCCCGGAUGUCGCUGCCCCCCGCGGCGGGGCCGCCGACGCGUUUCUCGGCCCGGGAGGAGGCUCGUCUUAAAGGGACAGCGCCGCGUUCGAGCCAGAGGGGGCGGCGCGUCCUGCCCUCCGUGCGCGACCCCUGCCCCGGGGGACGCCGCGGCGCCCACCGCCCCAGGCCCCCUGCUCCGGACGGGGCGCAGUCGGAGCGCGGCGCCCUGCCCCGGGAUGGCCGCAGAGGGCCGCCCGGAGGCCAGGUUUUCCUCCGGCCCGAGCGUGGCCGGUGGCGCCGCGCGGGGCCGGAAGGCGCCGGCCUGUGAUUGGCCGAGGCCCCCGUGAAUGCAGGACAUUGUCUGGUCGCGGCCGUCUCUGUCUCUGCCCGCCGCCCUUCCACCGAGCAAGAUGGGUGCGCAGCGAGGUCCCGGGGCGGCCCGGUCCCUCCGGCCCGCAGUCCCUGCGGCGGUGGGAACCCGGAGUGGGAAAACCUAACUUUCACGAGAUCAUGGCAUCCGAGAAUGGAACCGAGGUGCUGUUUCAAAAUACAAAACCAUCUCCACUAGGAAAGAAAAUCAUUUGUGUUUGACAUAAAGGUUUCCUUUAAGAUAAAAAAAUGCUAAGGACCCCCAUAAUACCUACUGGCCGUGGUAGCUGCAUCUGAUCGGUGUCAGUCCCAGAGCAGGCGCUGGCGUCAUUCAGUUAGUGUCUGAAUGCGGACAAAUCAGCCAGUCCUUCACAAGACCGAGAAGGGAGGAGCAAUCAGGAAUGCAAGACAGGGACUUCCCUGGUGGCGCAGUGGUUGAGAAUCCACCUCCCAAUGCAGGGGACACGGGUUCAAUCCCCGGUCUGGGAAGAUCCCACAUGCCGCGGAGCAACUAAGCCGGUGAGCCACGACUACUGAAGCCCUCGAGCCUAGAGCCCGUGCUCCGCAACAAGAGAAGAGCCUAGAGCCCAUGCUCCGCAACAAGAGAAGCCACCGCAGUGAGAAGCCACCGCAGUGAGAAGCCUGCACACAGCAACAAAGACCCAACGCAGCCAAAAAUAAAAUAAAAUUUAAAAAAAAAAAAAAGGAUGCAAGACAGGAAUCUGGGGGGCUCAGGAGCAUAAAGCUGAGGCAAAGGGCUGUGCCUUUAAGACUUUUUUUUUUUGCCUUUUUGCCUUUUUUUCUUCAGUCUGUAUCUUCAGCUGAGAAGUGGCAACAUCCUUAAUGACAGCCAAGGGUACAGGGUCACCGUCCCUCACGUUUACCUUGCUCUGUCUAGGCACUGGUCCCAGAGUUAGUGGCCAUUAUAGUCUUCAUCUGUAGCUCUGCCCAAGACAGGGGGGAGGGCAGUCUGUCUCAGUCCCUGUCUUCGCUCGUUCCAAGUGCCUGUAUCAGGAGGUUAAGAAAUCAGAAAUAAAAUCAUUCUGAAGGGGA